UCUGAUAAAGCCAAACCCAUCGUGAGGUGGGGACGGAAAGCUACGGGUCUUGGUGUUGUCUUCACGAAGAUCGCCGGGCUGCCAGAA
rnacentral:ncRNA from 1 species